GAUGAACGCUGGCAGCAUGCUUAACACAUGCAAGUCGACUUGAACUGCGGUUUGUGUGGCGGACGGGUGAGUAACGCGUAAAGAACUUGCCUCACAGAUAGGGACAACAUUUGGAAACGAAUGCUAAUACCUGAUAUUAUGAUUAUAGGGCAUCGUAUAAUUAUGAAAGCUAUAUGCGCUGUGAGAGAGCUUUGCGUCCCAUUAGCUAGUUGGAGAGGUAACGGCUCACCAAGGCGAUGAUGGGUAGCCGGCCUGAGAGGGUGGUCGGCCACAAGGGGACGGAGAAACGGCCAUUCCUCUUCCGGGAGGAAGCAGUGGGAAAAAUUGGAAAAUGGACCAAGAGUGUGAUAGAGAAAUUCUGUGUGGAAGAUGAAGUUUUUCGGAAUGAAAAGCGUUCUCAGUUGAGAAGAAAAAAAUGACGGUACCAACAGAAGAAGCGACGGCUAAAUACGUG
rnacentral:rRNA from 1 species